rnacentral:rRNA from 1 species
UACGAAGGGGGGCUAGCGUUGCUCGGAAUCACUGGGCGUAAAGCGCACGUAGGCGGAUCGCUAAGUCAGGGGUGAAUCCAUGAGCUCAACUCCAGAACUGCCUUUGAUACUGGCAAUCUCGAGUCCGGGGAGAGGUGAGUGGAACUGCGAGUGUAGAGGUGAAAUUCGUAGAUAUUCGCAAGAACACCAGUGGCGAAGGCGGCUCACUGGCCCGGUACUGACGCUGAGGAGCGAAAGCGUGGGAGCGAACAGG